GUAGGUGGCAAGCGUUGUCCGGAAUUAUUGGGCGUAAAGCGCGCGCAGGCGGGGUCCUUUAAGUCUGAUGUGAAAGCCCACGGGCUCAACCGUGGAGGGUCAUUGGAAACUGGGGGACUUGAGUACAGAGGAGGAAAGCGGAAUUCCAAGUGUAGCGGUGAAAUGCGUAGAGAUUUGGAGGAACACCAGUGGCGAAGGCGGCUUUCUGGUCUGUAACUGACGCUGAGGCGCGAAAGCGUGGGGAGCAAACAGGAUUAGAUACCCUGGUAGUCCACGCCGUAAACGAUGAGUGCUAAGUGUUAGGGGGUUUCCGCCCCUUAGUGCUGCAGCUAACGCAUUAAGCACUCCGCCUGGGGAGUACGGCCGCAAAGGCUG
rnacentral:rRNA from 1 species